rnacentral:rRNA from 1 species
GUUUACGCUCUAUAACCCUUUGUGAACAUACCUAUAACUGUUGCUUCGGCGGGUAGGGUCUCCGUGACCCUCCCGGCCUCCCGCCCCCGGGCGGGUCGGCGCCCGCCGGAGGAAAACCAAACUCUGAUUUAACGACGUUUCUUCUGAGUGGUACAAGCAAAUAAUCAAAACUUUUAACAACGGAUCUCUUGGUUCUGGCAUCGAUGAAGAACGCAGCGAAAUGCGAUAAGUAAUGUGAAUUGCAGAAUUCAGUGAAUCAUCGAAUCUUUGAACGCACAUUGCGCCCGCCAGCAUUCUGGCGGGCAUGCCUGUUCGAGCGUCAUUUCAACCCUCAAGCUCUGCUUGGUGUUGGGGCCCUACAGCUGAUGUAGGCCCUCAAAGGUAGUGGCGGACCCUCCCGGAGCCUCCUUUGCGUAGUAACUUUACGUCUCGCACUGGGAUCCGGAGGGACUCUUGCCGUAAAACCCCCAAUUUUCCAAAGGUUGACCUCGGAUCAGGUAGGAAUACCCGCUGAACUUAAGCAUAUCAAUAAGC